AGGCCUCAAAAAAUUGGUUUAAGACUCAGAGUUGUUCCUCU
rnacentral:snRNA from 1 species